GUGCCAGCAGCCGCGGUAAAACGUAGGUGGCAAGCGUUAUCCGGAAUUACUGGGCGUAAAGGGUGUGCAGGCGGGGAAGCAAGUGGUGUAUGAAAUCUCCCAGCUUAACUGGGAUAGGUUAUGCCAGACUGCUUUUCUAGAGGACGAGAGAGGGGGGUGGAAUUCCGGGUGUAGUGGUGAAAUGCGUAGAGAUCCGGAGGAACCCCAGAGGCGAAGGCGGCCCCCUGGCUCGUACCUGACGCUCAGCCACGAAAGCAUGGGGAGCGAACGGGAUUAGAAACCCCGGUAGUCC
rnacentral:rRNA from 1 species